rnacentral:rRNA from 1 species
GUGGGUAGUUUGACUGGGGCGGUCUCCUCCUAAAGAGUAACGGAGGAGCACGAAGGUUGGCUAAUCCUGGUCGGACAUCAGGAGGUUAGUGCAAUGGCAUAAGCCAGCUUGACUGCGAGCGUGACGGCGCGAGCAGGUGCGAAAGCAGGUCAUAGUGAUCCGGUGGUUCUGAAUGGAAGGGCCAUCGCUCAACGGAUAAAAGGUACUCCGGGGAUAACAGGCUGAUACCGCCCAAGAGUUCAUAUCGACGGCGGUGUUUGGCACCUCGAUGUCGGCUCAUCACAUCCUGGGGCUGAAGUAGGUCCCAAGGGUAUGGCUGUUCGCCAUUUAAAGUGGUACGCGAGCUGGGUUUAGAACGUCGUGAGACAGUUCGGUCCCUAUCUGCCGUGGGCGCUGGAGAAUUGAGGGGGGCUGCUCCUAGUACGAGAGGACCGGAGUGGACGCAUCACUGGUGUUCGGGUUGUCAUGCCAAUGGCACUGCCCGGUA